AGUGAGCGCGAUAAGGGCAUUCGGUGGAUGCCUUGGUACCAGGAGGCGAUGAAGGACGUAGCACGCUGCGAAAAGCUACGGGGAGCCGCGAGCAGGCUUUGAUCCGUAGAUAUCCGAAUGGGGCAACCCACCCGCAAGGGUAUCAUCAUCUGAAUACAUAGGAUGAUGAGGCGAACCCGGGGAACUGAAACAUCUCAGUACCUGGAGGAAAAGACAUCAAUUGAGAUUCUGCUAGUAGUGGCGAGCGAACGCGGAACAGGCCAGUCAUUUUUGAAGAAGAAGCAGAAGGAUCUGGAAAGGUCCGCCAUAGUGGGUGAUAGCCCCGUAUGCGUAGUGUCUUUGAGAAUGCUCGAGUAGGGCGGGGCACGUGAAACCCUGUCUGAACAUGGGGGGACCACCCUCCAAGCCUAAAUACUCCCUGGUGACCGAUAGUGAACAAGUACCGUGAGGGAAAGGUGAAAAGCACCCCGACGAGGGGAGUGAAAUAGACCUGAAACCGGAUGCCUACAAGCAGUCGGAGCCUCUUAUGGGGUGACGGCGUACCUUUUGUAUAAUGGGUCAGCGAGUUUCUGUUUGCAGCGAGCUUAAGCCGAUAGGUGUAGGCGUAGCGAAAGCGAGUCUGAAUAGGGCGUCGAGUUGCUGGCAGAAGACCCGAAACCGAGUGAUCUAGCCAUGGCCAGGCUGAAGGUGCGGUAACACGCACUGGAGGGCCGAACCCACGCCUGUUGAAAAAGUCGGGGAUGAGCUGUGGCUAGGGGUGAAAGGCCAAUCAAACUCGGA
rnacentral:rRNA from 1 species